rnacentral:rRNA from 1 species
AGUGAACGCUGGCGGUAGGCCUAACACAUGCAAGUCGAACGGCGGCACAGUAAGAGCUUGCUCUUACGGGUGGCGAGUGGCGGACGGGUGAGGAAUACAUCGGAAUCUACUUAUUCGUGGGGGAUAACGUAGGGAAACUUACGCUAAUACCGCAUACGACCUACGGGUGAAAGCAGGGGAUCUUCGGACCUUGCGCGAUUGAAUGAGCCGAUGUCGGAUUAGCUAGUUGGCGGGGUAAAGGCCCACCAAGGCGACGAUCCGUAGCUGGUCUGAGAGGAUGAUCAGCCACACUGGAACUGAGACACGGUCCAGACUCCUACGGGAGGCAGCAGUGGGGAAUAUUGGACAAUGGGCGCAAGCCUGAUCCAGCCAUACCGCGUGGGUGAAGAAGGCCUUCGGGUUGUAAAGCCCUUUUGUUGGGAAAGAAAAGCAGCAGGUUAAUACCCCGCUGUUCUGACGGUACCCAAAGAAUAAGCACCGGCUAACUUCGUG